CCUUGUCAAUGCUUAUAGUUUUCAUGAAGCUUAAUGAUCUUUGAUUGUAUCUUUAUUGUGCUUUUCACGUAAGGGACUUUUAGAGAAUGUUUUGAGUUGUUGCAUGUGCAUUCCCAUCCAAUUCAAUAACUUAAGGAAGACUUGAAGGUUAAAAAAGUGCUAUCACAGUUAACCUAGGGCAUUGAGGUUCAUGGUUUAUUGAAAGAAGCAAUUGGAAAUCAACUUUGUAUGCAAGUGUAUCAUGUGUGUAGAAGAACCCUCUAGUUACCCCAUAUCUCAUCAAUUCACCUAAUUGUGUCUAAAAAUCUGUUUAAAUUGUUCUUGCUUUGUUUUACUUAUUUUCGUCCAAAAUCUACCCCACCUUAUUUCUUUGAGUCAUAUUAGUUAGAACUUGUCUUAGAUUAUGUUUUUAAGUGUUUUGAGCCAUUAGAAAACCAAAUUUCGUCCAAGUUUGUGUUAGAGUUCAAAACUGUCCAGAAAGUGUUUUUAAGGCAGUUUUAAGAGUUUUUGUGCUGUUUUGAGUCUUUUUGUUUGUUUAAGUGUUUUAGAGUUUAGUUUUGCAUUCUUUGAGUCUAGUUUAGUGUUUUAAACUUUGUUUUAUGUAUUUGAGUCAGUUUAGAGUGUUUAGCAAUCCCUCCUAAUCCCCGGUUUAAGAACGAUCCCUAUUUAUCCAUACUACAAUUGUCAACAAGAGGGUUAAUUUUUGUGUUUAGUUAUUUUACGCAUCACUAGGGAAUUGGACAAUAGGCGCAUGCUUAGCUAAAAAACUGGCCGCGAGUUUGUUCUGGGAAGCCUAGCCGAAGCU
rnacentral:lncRNA from 1 species